rnacentral:rRNA from 1 species
GUGGGGAAUAUUGGACAAUGGGCGAAAGCCUGAUCCAGCCAUGCCGCGUGUGUGAAGAAGGUCUUCGGAUUGUAAAGCACUUUAAGUUGGGAGGAAGGGCAGUAAGUUAAUACCUUGCUGUUUUGACGUUACCGACAGAAUAAGCACCGGCUAACUUCGUGCCAGCAGCCGCGGUAAUACGAAGGGUGCAAGCGUUAAUCGGAAUUACUGGGCGUAAAGCGCGCGUAGGUGGUUUUGUAAGUUGGAGGUGAAAUCCCCGGGCUCAACCUGGGAACUGCCUCCAAAACUACUGAGCUAGAGUACGGUAGAGGGUAGUGGAAUUUCCUGUGUAGCGGUGAAAUGCGUAGAUAUAGGAAGGAACACCAGUGGCGAAGGCGACUACCUGGACUGAUACUGACACUGAGGUGCGAAAGCGUGGGGAGCAAACAGGAUUAGAAACCCUAGUAGUCC